AGUGAACGCUGGCGGUAGGCCUAACACAUGCAAGUCGAACGGCAGCACAGUAAGAGCUUGCUCUUACGGGUGGCGAGUGGCGGACGGGUGAGGAAUACAUCGGAAUCUACUUUUUCGUGGGGGAUAACGUAGGGAAACUUACGCUAAUACCGCAUACGACCUACGGGUGAAAGCAUGGGAUCUUCGGACCUUGCGCGAUUGAAUGAGCCGAUGUCGGAUUAGCUAGUUGGCGGGGUAAAGGCCCACCAAGGCGACGAUCCGUAGCUGGUCUGAGAGGAUGAUCAGCCACACUGGAACUGAGACACGGUCCAGACUCCUACGGGAGGCAGCAGUGGGGAAUAUUGGACAAAGGGCGCAAGCCUGAUCCAGCCAUACCGCGUGGGUGAAGAAGGCCUUCGGGUUGUAAAGCCCUUUUGUUGGGAAAGAAAAGCAGCAGGUUAAUACCCCGCUGUUCUGACGGUACCCAAUGAAUAAGCACCGGCUAACUUCGUG
rnacentral:rRNA from 1 species